UGGGCUCACAUUUGUUAAUGGAAAAUCUGCUCUGAGCAAGCUGCUUAAGAAGUCUAAAUAUAGGCCAAGUCUGUGAUGCGGACAGGAUCUCAAGAAUGUAAAGCAAACUGCUUGUGGGUGUGUGGGCUUUUGCUAAAGGUGCAGCAAUCCCGCAUCAAUCAACACUUCAUAUUUGCAGACCAUCAUUUAAAAAUCUGUCAUUUUCAGCCAGGUUUAAUUCAUCAUCUAUUACUCAAGCAUAUGAGUUACAAGGCAAGUGAUGGGAUUCCACCGAGAAUACAGCUUUAACAACACCGUACUAUUCUGCAGAACGGCCACUUAACUAUUACAUGAAAGAAAAAGUUCAUUACGUUGCAAUCUAAUCCUUAAAGUGUUGGUAUUUGGAGAUGGAGCCUUUGGGUUUCACCCUCAUGAAUGGGAGCAGUACCCUUAUAAAGGAGACCCAAGAGAGCUCCCUCACGCCUUCACCACGCAAGGACACAGUGACAAGACGGUCAGCUGUGAACUAGGAAGGAGGCCCUCGUCAGACCCUGACUCUGCCGGUGCCCUGAUCUUGGCUUUCCCAGCCUCCAGAACUGUGAGGAAUACAUUUCUGCUGUGUAUAAGCCCCCCAGUCCAUGGUACUUUGUUAUGGCAGCUUGAAUGGACCGAGACAACAAAGCAUCAAAAAGUUAACUAUGUCUUUAAAAUUUCAAAAAAAUAUAUUCACUGAAUUCAUUAAUUCCAUUCAUUCAUUCAUUCAACAAAUAUUAAGACUACUCAGUAGAAGGUAAUGUAUUAGGCCCCAGGGAUAAAGGUAUGAAAAAAGCCAGUUCCUACUUUCAAAGAGGUUGGGGAAUCAAGGGAGGCUUUACAGAGCAAAAGCCGGACAGCUGCAGGCGGCAGGGGCGGUGCAUGACCCGAGUCUUG